rnacentral:rRNA from 2 species
CGCGUGAUGAGAAGGUCUUCGGAUUGUAAAGUCCUUUCGACGGGGACGAUGAUGACGGUACCCGUAGAAGAAGCCCCGGCUAACUUCGUGCCAGCAGCCGCGGUAAUACGAAGGGGGCUAGCGUUACUCGGAAUUACUGGGCGUAAAGGGCGCGUAGGCGGCGCGAUAAGUCAGGCGUGAAAUUCCCGGGCUCAACCUGGGGACUGCGCUUGAGACUGUUGUGCUAGAGGAUGGAAGAGGGUCGUGGAAUUCCCAGUGUAGAGGUGAAAUUCGUAGAUAUUGGGAAGAACACCGGUGGCGAAGGCGGCGACCUGGUCCAUUACUGACGCUGAGGCGCGACAGCGUGGGGAGCAAACAGGAUUAGAUACCCUGGUAGUCCACGCCGUAAACGAUGUGCGCUG